rnacentral:lncRNA from 1 species
UAUAUAUCAAUAUAUAUGAUAAAACUAUGUGUAGUUUUAUUUAUCAAAUACUUUUUAAAAAUCUGGAAUAAAUAUCAGGUGGGGUUUUUUUGUUGUGUUUUUUGUUUUUCCAGACAGGGUUUCUCUGUAUAGCCCUGGCUGUCCUGGAACUCACUUUGUAGACCAGGCUGGCCUCGAACUCAGAAAUCUGCCUGCCUCUGCCUCCCAAGUGCUGGAAUUAAAGGCAUGCGCCACCACUGUCCGGCUUAAAUAUCAGAUUUUUCAACUAUUGUCUGGCCUCAGUGGGAGAGGAAGCGCCAAGCCUCACAGACUUGAAGUCAGGGUUGAGGGGAUUCCCAGAGGAGCCCCCACCAGCUCAGAAAAGAAGGAGAAGGAGAGGGGGAAGGACUGUGGGAGGGGUGACUGGGAGGGUGCAGUGUGGGGGAUGUAAAGUGAGUAAGUAAAAAAAUAAAAAUUAAAAUUAGAAACAAGAAAGAAAAGAAGAAAGCUGAGUUCUCAAUAGCAAGGAGCACCACGGUUCUCAAUAAGUGGCAUGGGAAUGGUGACAAAAGUGACCUCACGGAGCUGUGAGAGAGGUAGCACCUAGCUCAGCCUGGGGCACGUCCUUAAACCCAACAAAUAUUAGUUACCAUUAACAACUCGGAGCCUUCUAUUUAUUUUUGGUGUGUGAAGGGGGCACCACAGCUCACACCUGGAGGUCAGAAAGCACCUCACAGGAGUGGGCUCUCUCCACUCACCAUGGUCAGGGAAUCAAACUCAGGCCACCAGGCUUGGAGCAAGCACUGAGCCUUCUAACCGGCACUGAGAGUCCUUUUAAAAGGGUCCUUCACUGUUAAAAACUUAGAAACCACAGACUUCUGAGAAGGCUGUCUCUCCAAAAAUAUAAACCUUAUUUUAUACUUUUUGAACGCCAUUCUUCCCAAAGGGAAUCACUGAGUAAGUUAACCUGGUGCUGGGAGAAUCUCGGGCUGGAGGCCUAAAGGCCUUGUGAAUGGCCCCUGCAGCCUCAGGCCAGAGCAGAGCACCUCUGGUGCAGAGCGAACAGGAAGGAGAAGUCUGAGUUGGGGGAGAAAAGAUGCUAAAACCCACUUAGCCUAGCCAGGCAUUGUGGUGUAUGCCUUUAAUCCCAGCAUGCACUUGGCCUACUCAAGGCUAGCUUGGUCUACAUGAGUUCCAGGACAGUGAGGGCUACACAGAGACACCUUGUCUCAAAAACCAAAACUAAGCCAAAACAACAACAAAACAAAACAAAAACCAUUUAGCAACUUAUUGCAAAAAUUCAGGC